rnacentral:lncRNA from 1 species
UUAAUUUUUAUCAAAUCCAAAUUGUAUUUAACAAGUACACACAAUUAAAUAAAUCCACAAUUAAUAUUAAAUUUAUUUUAUUAAAAAAUAUGAAAAUUUAAAUCUAAUAAUAUUUGCAAUUAAUUUUUAUCAAUUUAACCCUAAAACUUGAAUUACAUACUAAAAAGCUGGUACUGCUACAUUAAAAAAGACUCAAACUUAGGUACCAAAUGAUAUAUUAAGUCUAAAAUUUAUUUCCAAAACCAAAGCUGGUACUGCUACAUUAAAAAAGACUCAAACUUAGGUACCAAAUAAUAUAUUAAGUCUAAAAUUUAUUUCCAAAACCAGUUAUGUAGUUCAAUUAGUCUUUGUUUAAUUUUUAUGAAGCAUAGUGUACAGGCCCAAAUUCGCCCGGCCCAAUUGAUGAAAUUGAACCCAAUCUUAAAAAUCACCCAAACCCAAUCUAAACCUAGCCCAAAAGCCCAUAACUUUAACUUUCAGCAAAAAAAAAAAAAAGAAACCCUAGCCUAAGAGCUGCCGCUGCUCCUCCUCGGGCGCACCACCUGCGCUUCGUCCCGAAGCUUGACUCCUCUGCUCCAUCCCAUCACCUCCUUCAAAGCCUGCAAAGAGAGCAAAAAAGAAACGAAAGUAGCAGCCAUAACAGAGGCAGAAACAAUGAUAGAACAGUAGCAAGGACAAGAGCAUACAGAGAGUAGAACCUAGACAUAAACAGUAACAAGGAAUAAUAUUGUAUUGUUAUUUUUCGGCUAUAAAGCCACUGAAAAACGGAUGUAAAAAAGAUGGGGGGGAUUCAAAAAAUAUAUGAAAAUCAAUCAAAAACGAAAAUUUCAAAAGGUUAUCUUUUGCUCUUAGUUUGGUUUCAAUUUCUGUUUUCAUCUUUUUUUUCUUUUUAUUAUUACAUUCGAAAAUCAAAAAGAAAAAGGGAGGGAAUACCCUUACCGUUGAUUUUUUUCCGGCCGCCAUCGUUGGUGUGCGCACAACGGAGCAGCUGCAAGGAUGGGCUAACUCUUUUGCCCUAGCAGAGAAAGAUUGAAAACCUAUUUUGUUUCUUUUUAUUUCGGCGCAAGCUAGGCUUUGAAAACCUAGCAGAGGAAAAGAAGAAAAAAUGGGGAGGUGGGCUCUGUAAAUUUUUUAAAAAGAAAAAGGAAAGGGGUGAAAUAAAAAAAUAAGCAAAAUUU